rnacentral:rRNA from 1 species
UGGGGAAUAUUGGACAAUGGGCGCAAGCCUGUUCCAGCCAUGCCGCGUGAGUGAUGAAGGCCCUAGGGUUGUAAAGCUCUUUCACCGGUGAAGAUAAUGACGGUAACCGGAGAAGAAGCCCCGGCUAACUUCGUGCCAGCAGCCGCGGUAAUACGAAGGGGGCUAGCGUUGUUCGGAUUUACUGGGCGUAAAGCGCACGUAGGCGGACUUUUAAGUCAGGGGUGAAAUCCCGGGGCUCAACCCCGGAACUGCCUUUGAUACUGGAAGUCUUGAGUAUGGUAGAGGUGAGUGGAAUUCCGAGUGUAGAGGUGAAAUUCGUAGAUAUUCGGAGGAACACCAGUGGCGAAGGCGGCUCACUGGACCAUUACUGACGCUGAGGUGCGAAAGCGUGGGGAGCAAACAGG